AAACUCCCAACCCUUUGUGAACUUACCGUAGUUGCUUCGGCGGGCUGCGGCUACCCUGUACUUACCCUGUAGCAGCUACCCUGCAGUUGGCUACCCUGUAGGUUACCUGGUUGCUUGCGAUAAGGCCCGUCAGAGGACCACUAAACUCUUGUUACCCUGUACCAAUCUCUGAAUGCGUAAACUUAAUAAGUUAAAACUUUCAACAACGGAUCUCUUGGUUCUGGCAUCGAUGAAGAACGCAGCGAAAUGCGAUAAUUAAUGUGAAUUGCAGAAUUUAGUGAAUCAUCGAAUCUUUGAACGCACAUUGCGCCCAUUAGUAUUCUAGUGGGCAUGCCUAUUCGAGCGUCAUUUCAACCCUUAAGCCCUGUAGCUUAGCGUUGGGAAUCCGUGGCUUACGGCGCGGUUCCCCAAAGUUAGUGGCGGAGUUAGUGCAUACUCUUAGCGUAGUAAUUCUUCUCGCUCACGUAGUAUGUCUAACCACCUGCCGUAAAAGACCCUAAUUUUCUAAUGGUUGACCUCGGAUUAGGUAGGAAUACCCGCUGAACUUAAGCAUAUCAAUAAGCGGAGGAAAAGAAACCAACAGGGAUUGCCCUAGUAACGGCGAGUGAAGCGGCAACAGCUCAAAUUUGAAAUCUGGCCCUAGCGGUCCGAGUUGUAAUUUGUAGAGGAUGCUUUUGGUGAGGUGCCUUCCGAGUUCCCUGGAACGGGACGCCGGAGAGGGUGAGAGCCCCGUACGGUUGGACGCCUAGCCUCUGUAUAGCUCCUUCGACGAGUCGAGUAGUUUGGGAAUGCUGCUCUAAACGGGAGGUAAAUUUCUUCUAAAGCUAAAUACCGGCCAGAGACCGAUAGCGCACAAGUAGAGUGAUCGAAAGAUGAAAAGCACUUUGAAAAGAGGGUUAAAUAGCACGUGAAAUUGUUGAAAGGGAAGCGUUUGCGACCAGACUUUUUCCAGGCGGAUCAUCCGGUGUUUAGGCCGGUGCACUUCGCCUGGUUUAGGCCAGCAUCGGUUCUCUUAGGGGGAUAAAGGCUUAGGGCAUGUGGCUCCAUCUGGAGUGUUAUAGCCCUUUGCGUAAUACCCUUCGGGGGACCGAGGAACGC
rnacentral:rRNA from 1 species